rnacentral:rRNA from 1 species
UACAGAGGUCUCAAGCGUUGUUCGGAUUCAUUGGGCGUAAAGGGUGCGUAGGCGGCGCGGUAAGUCGGGUGUGAAAUCUCGGAGCUUAACUCCGAAACUGCAUUUGAUACUGCCGUGCUUGAGGACUGGACAGGAGACUGGAAUUUACGGUGUAGCGGUGAAAUGCGUGGAUAUCGUAAGGAAGACCAGUGGCGAAGGCGGGUCUCUGGACAGUUCCUGACGCUGAGGCACGAAGGCCAGGGGAGCAAACGGG